rnacentral:rRNA from 1 species
CCUACGGGGGGCAGCAGUGAGGAAUAUUGGUCAAUGGCCGAGAGGCUGAACCAGCCAAGUCGCGUGAGGGAAGAAUGUCCUAUGGAUUGUAAACCUCUUUUGUCAGGGAGCAAAGUCACCCACGUGUGGGUGUUGGAGAGUACCUGAAGAAAAAGCAUCGGCUAACUCCGUGCCAGCAGCCGCGGUAAUACGGAGGAUGCGGGCGUUGUCCGGAUUUAUUUGGUUUAAAGGGUGCGAAGGGGGGUUGUCAAGUCAGCGGUAAAAUCGUGGAGCUAAACUCCAUCCAGCAGUUGAAACUGAGGAUCUUGAGUGGGCGAGAAGUAUGCGGAAUGCGUGGUGUAGCGGGGAAAUGCAUAGAUAUCACGAAGAACUCCGAUUGCGAAGGCAGCAUACCGGCGCCCAACUGACGCUGAAGCACGAAAGCGUGGGUAUCGAACAGGAUUAGAUACCCGUGUAGUC